CCGACUCCUCUCUUCCUUCCCCCUUUCUUCUCCCGCGAAGAGAGAAGUGUGAACUCGGGAGGGGCCGGGCCACGGCCGAUGGUGCCCACGGACGGGCCCGUGAUGCCCUCGGCUGCGCCUGCGGCCGACGCUCGACGCUCGCGUCCUCGGCCGGUUUGCGGCAUAUGCCCACGCCGGCGACUUUCGCGGCCGAAGCCGGCGGUCGCCACACGCGACGACGAACCUUCUUGCAGUUGUUCUUUUUCUUGCAUCAAGAAGAGAACAAGAAGGGGUGCAUUCAAUUAAGAUUGGAGUUGUCAAAGGUGCCGAGAGUGGAAGCUCCCACACAGGUUCAUAGGUACGUGUGGCCACGAAAUUUCAUACCAAGUCUACCACUUUGUAAUUCUAUACAAACAAGCCCUUUCCCGUAGCACCGUUGGAUACGAAGAGUUGCUGUGUAACGUUAAUCUUUUUGUUUGGACUAAUCCCGGCAAUCCAUACACCGGGACCUGUUCAACUUUGACUUACCAACUCAUAAUAUUUGACUUGGGCAUCUUCUCAUCUAAACUUGAGCUAGUACCGGCAAUCAGUGUACCGGGACUAGUUUAAUUCCAAGUUAAAACUACUAGCGUAUUACAUUCGAUUUC